CUCAGUGGCUGUCCAGUUGUUCAUCUUAAUGUCUGUGGAUGAGGUGAUGGACUGACUGCUGUGAUCAGCUGUUUCUUGGUUUUAAAACUCCCCGCCUGUGGGUUGCACAACAGUGCAGGUCAUUGACAACUCCGCCCACCUCACUCAGAGACCGGCACAUUUCCACCUCAUUUUUAGAUAGCAGGCGAAGCGGAAAUAAGUGUACCGUCCGAGAUGGAAAAUCAGUGGACCAAAACAGACCCCCAAUUUGCUGGUCUCUGUCUAAAACCACGGACUGAGCCGCCAAAAGGACGGGCAAAUUGGCAGCUUGGUGCUCUGUCUAAAAACGGCUCAUCUCUGUUGUCACCCUGCUUUGACUAGCGACGCAGGUGGGAAGUCACGAACACGUCCGGACAAGUUCCUCGGUGCUAGUACUACCAUGACAUGCCACUGCCAAGUAGCCUACGGGUCAUUUAAUGGGCCAAAUUUAAAAUGCUUGUCCAUUGAAUUGCCUCUCAGAAUCUUAGAAUUAAUUGCGUUAAUCUUUAUAAUGCAUUAAUUUGUAAUUAAUUAAUCUAAUUAAUGCGUUAAACUGACAUCCCUAAUUUUCAGUCAGUUGGAAACUUAAACAAAAUAACCUGCUAUCUAGUUUCUGCAGAGCUUGCAAACUGUGGCUUUUUUUGUCAACAUAACUCACUGGAAAUCCAAAAUACUUCCACACCUGCGACUUCAGUGAAAGAGGAGGGGGUUCAAGUUCUGUCUAUGGGUCUCCAGUUGCCACUGUUGUAAGAGUUGCGCUCCCCUUUCAGGAAUAGAUCAGUGCGUGAGGUGUGUGUGCUUAGAGUUCGUAAGGUGUGAGUGGGCGAGCGAGAGUGAGGGAGCGUGCGUAUAUGCAGACAGUUAGCGAAUGGCAGAGGAAGGAGAAGGGAAAGGAGUAGCAGUAGUAGUGAGGGCAAUAAAGUGUACAAUACAGGCUGCAGUUUGGCUGUGAAUAAAGGCGACGGCUCCUCCAGAUACAGCAAAGCUCCCUGGCAUUAUUUCCCGACUAGCUUAACACGUGAAAGGGGGUUCACCUCGACGGUAAACACGGACUUCGGCCCUGGAGGAAAUCAUCUCCCCUGUGUUUCCCGACCACGGUCUGGGAGCCGAACAUGAAUGGUAUAACACCAUGUUAUUGUUUUGCUGGCUGUAGCUAACAGCUACCGGCUUAGCUAGUAGUUAAGUUAGAGGAGGUUGACUAACAGCACCUCAACACUUACUGUGUGUUUUUUUUCCGCUUGGCAAGCCAAAUGCAUGGGGGUGUGGCAGCAUCGACAGUCCCAUAUUUUCAUGCGUGUGCGUGGUCACAAUUGGGGUUGAGUCUAAGUUUCAAGUGUGCAAGUUUCCGUAGUGUAGUGGUUAUCACGUUCGCCUCACACGCGAAAGGUCCCCGGUUCGAAACCGGGCGGAAACAAUGUCUUUGAAAUGUUUUAGCUAAGUGGUGUAUUUGACAUGAAGAAUGAACUGAAAUAUUGACAGAUAUUAUGUAUGUUAUUUGGACUUACAGUAAAAUGCAACAAUAUAACCCCAUAUAAAGGUACGAAAGAGCAUCAUCACAUAAAAAUGUCUUUCUGCCCUGGGACCUUUCACAUGUUAGGCAAGUGUGAUAACCACUCAAUCAUGACCUAACCCGAGGAAAAAAAUACCACAGCUGUAGGUGGAGCAGUGUCUGUCCUCCGCCUGUCCUACCGACUCUUCGUCACAUUUCUGCCCAAAAAACAGCAUCUGUCACCAGCAAAAACCUUUGAAGGCAGGAACACACCGGCCCAACCACUGGAUGUCUGAAGCGUUUGAAGAGACUUGGUCAGGAACAAAUAUGUUCGGUGUGUUCAGCUGUGUUGAAAGCUCGGGGAAGUGCUCAGACGUUGUCUGCUCCAGUUCAACAUGCUAAGUCUGACAAGGUUGGCUGUCGGAUGUCUUGAGUCACUGGAUUCUCUGAUUGGCGCUGUGCUAGGGAAUCAGUGCGGUGUGUGGGAGGGGCGGAAUACUAUGCGCACAUUGGUUUUCUACGCACUUUCUGUGUGAAUUACACGGUGGUUCGACUUUACUCCAGCAGUGCUUCGCUCAGUUUGAAUGACCAACGUUGGAGAAUUGACAAACCGCUGCUGCAGCGCCAAUGCAGCGUCUCUGUGUAAGAGGGGCUAUUCUCAGCCUCCGCGGGUACUACCACUUCCUGUUUAGGACGAUGCGUUGACGCAAAUUAUUCAUGUUGACAAAUUUAUGUCGUUGAUUACGUUGACUACAUGGUCCCAGCCCUAGAAAUGUGCAAACUUAAUGUUGAAAUGUUGCCUGCGUGUGCGUGGUCACAGUGGCAGGUGUGUGCAAGUUUCCGUAGUGUAGUGGUUAUCACGUUCGCCUCACACGCGAAAGGUCCCCGGUUCGAAACCGGGCGGAAACAGUUUUGUUAAAGUCUUUUAGCCAAGUGGUGUAUUUGACAUGAAGAAUGAACUGAAAUAUUGACAGGUUGUAUGAACAGGCAUAUAAAGAAUAACAGAUAUUAUGUAUGUUAGUUGGACUUGUAGUAAAAUGCAACAAUGUAACCCCAUAUAAAGGUAAGAAAGAUCUUCAUGACAUAAAAAUGUGUUUCUGCCCUGGGACCUUUCACAUGUUAGACAAGUAUGAUAACCACUCAAUCAUGACCUAACCCGAGGAAAAAAAUACCACAGCUGUAGGUGGAGCAGUGUCUGUCCUCCGCCUGUCCUACUGACUCUUCGUCACAUUUCUGCCCAAAAAACAGCAUCUGUCACCAGCAAAAACCUUUGAAGGCAGGAACACACCGGCCCAACCACUGGAUGUCUGAAGCGUUUUAAGAGACUUGGACAUGGUCAGGAGCAAAAAUGUUCGGUGUGUUCAGCUGUGUUGAAAGCCUCCGCGGGUACUACCACUUCCUGUUUAGGACGAUGCGUUGACGCAAAUUAUUCAUGUUGACAAAUUUAUGUCGUUGAUUACGUUGACUACAUGGUCCCAGCCCUAGAAAUGUGCAAACUUAAUGUUCAAAAGUUUCCGUAGUGUAGUGGUUAUCACGUUCGCCUCACACGCGAAAGGUCCCUGGUUCGAAACCGGGCGGAAACAGUGUUAUUAAAGUCUUUUAGCUAGGUGAUGUAUUUGACAUGAAGAAUGAACUGAAAUAUUGACAGGUUGUAUGAACAGGCAUAUAAAGAAUAACAGAUAUUAUGUAUGUUAGUUGGACUGGUAGUAAAAUGCAACAAUGUAACCCCAUAUAAAGGCAAGAAAGAUCUUCAUGACAUAAAAAUGUGUUUCUGCCCUGGGACCUUUCACAUGUUAGACAAGCUUGAUAACCACUCAAUCAUGACCGUGCACUCAUACACAACAUCUGAACAUUUAGUUAGUACUUUUCCAUCUGUAGCUCCAUCCAGAUCAGCUGUGGCAGCAGCGAUAUCGCAUCAGUUUUGUCUGCAAUGCGGACAUCCACCACUGCUGCUGUUUUUCCGUUGAAUGUUUGGCACUUCUGGAGCAAAUGUCUGAAUGGAAAUGUGUAGAGCUGUCCCAAGAAAAUAUUUUUCAUAUGAUUAAUCUAGUGAUUAUGUUUUCGAUUAAUCGACUAAUCUAACAAUUAAUUUAACAUUACAUGACCAAACAAAAGUAACGUAGUAGCUGUAACUGUCGUUAGUAACUUAUAUGAGGAAAAAAAUACCACAGUUGUAGUUGGAGCAGCGUCUGUCCUCCGCCUGUCCUACCGACUCUUCGUCACAUUUCUGCCCGAAAAACAGCAUCUGUCAUCAGCAAAAACCUUUAAGGGGCGUUCAGACCGAACGUGAUAGAGGCGAAUGGAGCAGCAACUCUACAUUGAAAAUCAAUGUAAAUGGCAUGAUGUCAUGCGAUUCAGGCGCUGGCGGCGCGAAUGGAGCAUCUGAAGCGUCUGGACAGGCGUGUCUGAAGCGACGCGAAUAAAGUUGAAAAUAUCCAACUUGUCAGACGGCAUCGUGCCGCGACAUCCAAUCAGCGACGAGUUCAAGCUGACGACGUCACUUCCCUCACGUACGGUUGUUUACGGUCGCUCAGAGCAACAUGGAGGAGAAGCUGAUCGUAGCUGUCUGUGGGUACCCGGUGCUGUAUGACACCACUGCGGUGUUCUACAGAGACAAAUUCAAAGAAGAGAAUGCGUGGGUGAAAGUCGCAGAGGAGGUGGGACUCCCCGUUGAGGUGUGUCGCAAAAAAUGGAAGGGGCUGAGGGACACAUACCUAACAAAAACAAGAGGGAAGGAGAAAAAAGGAGCGGGUCACAUUUUAUAAAGUGGCGGUUCUCUGCGGUCCUGUCUUUCCUCGACCCCUUAACCACACCCAGGGAAACCAGUGGCAACAUGGGUCAGGGGGUCGAGGAAGCGUUGACCACAGAGACCUCAUAUGAAGAGGGCCGUCAGAACUGUGGUCAGGAGAAGCAGGGCCAUCAUCAGGACCACUAGUUUGUGAUGGUUGGUUAAAUGAAGACAUACACAUAGUAAAGUACGGGUAAAAACGCUUUCAAAUUCAGUUGGCGAAAGAGCAGUUUAUAUGUGUAUUUUUUCUCUUGCAUUUGUUUCCAGUAAAUCUCAAAUGAUAUGUUCACCUAUUGUAGAAUACAUUUGGAUCAUAUAAUAAUAAUAAUUUCUCUAUAGAGCAAUCGUUGAGUGACAGCGAGGGCACAGCUCCUGCUGCUUCUGCUGCUGGUCCUGCUGCUGCUGCUUGGACCAGUGGUGCACGGACAGGGAAGAGGAAGAGAGGGAGGGGCGCUGAUGCAGCUGGAAGAAGGGAGGAGAUGAUAGAGGAGCUCCUCAUCCAGAGCCUACAGAGGCCACCUGCCCCCCUGCCACCUCCACCUGUGUGCAUUGAGGAGGAGAGGUUUUUAACAAGCCCGGCUCCUCCCCUCCAUAGGCUGCCACCUCAGCAAAGGGAGUUUGUUAAAUUCCAAAUUCAUAAAUUAAUAUAUGAAAACACAUUUGUGACACUUAAUUUGGAUGCAUUGGAGUAGCUGGGGUGGCAGCCUGUGCUGGGAACGAGGCAGGCCGGUAAAUUUUUGUAAAUUGUUUGAUAUAUUCGUUCUGUUCUUUUUCUAUUAAUCAGUUUUGGGUUUUUUUUUUGUUAUUUUAUUUUUGUAUUGAUCUUUAUAAAUACAUAUUUUGUUUUCAAAUUAAAAAUGUAUUGUAUAUAUUUCUUAAUGACUACGAUUUCUCAUGUCAUUAAUUCACACAUUCUUUCAAGUACAAUGAGACUGUAGACUGGCCAGUUUCAGAAUGAUAAUUAAAGUAAAGAAAAAGUUUAAUGGUGUAAUAUCAGAGAGGGUCAGUAUUGCUCAAUUCUUUUAUUUGGAUUGCUCUUAAAAGAGCCGUUUUUGGGGUGCUUGUGCACUAAACAUCAUGCUGCCACGGGACCACUCCCUCCGUGGAGAGGAAGGCUGAGAAGGUCUCCCGAACCCUGAUGGCCUCUCUUGCCAAGUUGUUCGCCCCAACUCUUCCCAGACCUGGCAGUUGCUCCAUCUCACUCCCUGUGAUGCUUCCUCCAACUCCUGGUGUCUGGGCUGUCAUGCGCAGGAAGUUGUGAAGAACACAAAUUGCCUUCACGUACUUCUCUGCCACUUCCAGCUGGACCUCGAGGACACGGUGGUACAUCCUCCACUGAGCCACCAGGAUGCCGAAAGGCAUUUUCGACCACCAACCAGGCAAAAUUAUUCAUGUCAACGAAUUUAUGUCGUUGAUUACGUUGACUAUGUCGUCCCAGCUCAAAUGUUGCCUGCGUGUUUGUGGUCACAAUUGCUGGUGUUUGCAAGUUUCCGUAGUGUAGUGGUUAUCACGAACUGAAAUAUUGACAGGUUGUAUGAACAGGCAUAUAAAAAAUAACAGAUAUUAUGUAUGUUCGUUGGAUUGGUAGUAAAAAUGCAAUGAUAUAACCCCAUAUAAAUGUAAAAAAGAUCUUCAUGACAUAAAAAUAUGUGUCUACCCUGGGACCUUUCACGUGUUAGGUGAGCGUGAUAGCCAUUCAAUCUUGACCACGUACACAACAUUUGAACAUUUAGUUAGCACAUUUACAUCUAUAGCUCCAUCUAGAUCAGCUGUGGCAGUGGUGACGUUGCAUCAGUUUUCUCUGCAAUGCAGACAUCCACCACUGCCGCUGUUUGUUUCGUUGAAUGUUUAGCACUUCUGUAGCAAAUGUCUGGUUGGAAAUGUGUAGAGCUGCCCCAAAAAACUAUUUUUUCAAACGAUUAAUCUAGCGAUUAUGUUUUAGAUUAGUCAACUAAUCUAACGAUUAAUUUAAUGUUACAUGACCAAACAAAAGUAACGUAGUAGCUGUAACUGUAGUUAGUAACUUAUAUGAGUAAAUAAAUACCACAGUUGUAGGUGGAGCAGCGCCUGUCCGCCACCUGUCCUACCGACUCUUCGUCACAUUUCUGCCCAAAAAACAUCGUCUGUCACCGGCAAAAACUUUUAAAGGCAGGAACACAGCGGCCCAACCGUUGGAUGUCUGAAGCGUUUUAAGUGACUCGGAUGAGGUCAGGAAGAAAUAUGUUCGGUGUGUUCAGGGGGUCGGGUUCUCAAUCACUACACAUUAUAAAUGGUCCACUGGUUUAGAUUGACAGGGGGGAGACCUGGGAAACACACCGAUGUCAUCAUCAUGACGUGUACCGUCACGUCUCUUUGGGAGCCGCAGCGCAGCUUUCUGUGUGAAUUACACAGCGGUUCGUCUUUACUCCAGCAGUGCUUUGCUCUGUUUAAAUGACCAACGGCGGAGCAUUGACGAAAUGCCGCUGCGGCGUUAAUGCAGCCUCUCUGUGUGAGAGGGGCUAUUCUCAGCCUCCGCAGGUACCACCACUUUCGGUUUGGGCGAUGCGUUGACGCAAAUUAUUCAUGUUGACGAAUUUAUGUCGUUGAUAACAUUGACUAUGUCGUCCCAGCCCUAGAAAUGUGCAAACUGAAUGUUCAAAUGUCGCCUGCGUGUGCGUGGUCACAUUUGCAGGUGUGUGCAAGUUUCCGUAGUGUAGUGGUUAUCACGUUCGCCUCACACGCGAAAGGUCCCCGGUUCGAAACCGGGCGGAAACAGUAUUUAUAAAGUCUUUCAGCAAAGCGUUGUAUUCAACAUGAAAAGUGAACCGACAUACUGACAGGAUGUAUCAACAGGCAUAUAAAAAAUAACAGAUAUUAUGUAAGUUUUUUGCACUGGUACAAACAAUGCAACGACGUAACCCCACAUAAAAGUAAGAAAAACCUCUAUUGGCAUAAAAUUAUGUUUCCGCCCGGUUUCGAACCGGGGACCUUUCGCGUGUUAGGCGAACGUGAUAACCACUACACUACGGAAACUCACGUUUUCACCUCUCGAGGUUUAGGAAAUGAAUGUACGCUUAAGUAUUAUUUUUUUAAUUGAUACGCCAACUAAACUUUGUCAGGACAGUUUAACUAUGAACGUGGUUGCAAUAUGAUAACAGUGCAGUAGUGAUGAACAUGAACUGAACAUGGCUGCAUGUGGUUUCCGUAGUGUAGUGGUUAUCACGUUCGCCUCACACGCGAAAGGUCCCCGGUUCGAAACCGGGCGGAAACACUUAUUGUUUAACAUGUACAGCUCUGACUUUUCUUAUGUAACCCCCUUAAUUUCCAACCGAGGCAGAAGAGCUACAGGUAAAGGUAUCAGCCCCUCAUGCCACCGCAAAAGCACCUUCCUCCAACCUCACUACUGAGGAAAGGAAGGCCCUGGCAUUACUCAAAAGAGACCGGAACAUCACCAUCUUGCUGGAAAAGGGAGAUACACGAAGAACUAAAUGUCAAAGACUACCGCAACAAAGUCACUGAUUCGCUUAGUGAAACUAACACCUAUGAGGCUUUGAGGCAAGAUCCUACAAAUAGCUUAAAAGAAGGUUAUAGAAUAUCUGCAAGAACUGGAAAAGGACAAAGCUAUUGACAUACCAUUAUAUUCCAGACUUUACCCCGGGUAAGCCAAGUGACGCAGAGAUUGAAAACUGAAUAUAUGUCAAUUGCUGCUCGGCGGCAUAUACUGGUCCUUAGACCGUUGGUAUUCCACUGUCACAUGAGGAUAUGUACUGCUUGAAACUGUUGCCAUUAAAAGAUUGCUGGAUGGGUACUGCCACCUGAUGAAUAUGCAAGUAAAAUGCCACUUGGCUGGUUUAACAAGUACUGCCAUAAAUGUAUGCAUUUUUUAAACUAUUGAUUGACAAUGCUAACUUUCUGUAAAUAAAGGAAAGCAUGUAUAUCUGUUGUAUGUCAGGUUGUUGGG